CCUACGGGAGGCAGCAGUGAGGAAUAUUGGUCAAUGGUCGUAAGGCUGAACCAGCCAAGUCGCGUGAGGGAGGAAGGUUCAAUGGUUUGUAAACUUCUUUUAUCGGGGCAUAAAGGUAUGCACGUGUGGAUAUUUGCAUGUACCUUAUGAAUAAGCAUCGGCUAACUCCGUGCCAGCAGCCGCGGUAAUACGGCGGAUGCGAGCGUUAUCCGGAUUUAUUGGGUUUAAAGGGUGCGUAGGUGGUUUGUUAACGCAGCGGUGAAAGUUUGGGGCUCAACCAUAAAAUUGCCGGUGAAACUGGCAGACUUGAGUGGGGUAGAGGUAUGCGGAAUGCGUGGUGUAGCGGUGAAAUGCAUAGAUAUCACGAAGAACUCCGAUUGCGAAGGCAGCUUACUAAGCCAUAACUGACACUGAAGCACGAAAGCGUGGGGAUCAAACAGGAUUAGAUACCCCGGUAGUC
rnacentral:rRNA from 1 species